GAUGAACGCUGACAGAAUGCUUAACACAUGCAAGUCGACUUGAACUUCGGUUUGUGUGGCGGACGGGUGAGUAACGCGUAAAGAACUUGCCUCACAGUUAGGGACAACAUUUGGAAACGAAUGCUAAUACCUGAUAUUAUGAUUUUAGGGCAUCCUAGAAUUAUGAAAGCUAUAUGCGCUGUGAGAGAGCUUUGCGUCCCAUUAGCUAGUUGGAGAGGUAACGGCUCACCAAGGCGAUGAUGGGUAGCCGGCCUGAGAGGGUGAACGGCCACAAGGGGACUGAGACACGGCCCUUACUCCUACGGGAGGAAGCAGUGGGGAAUAUUGGACAAUGGACCAAGAGUCUGAUCCAGCAAUUCUGUGUGCACGAUGAAGUUUUUCGGAAUGUAAAGUGCUUUCAGUUGGGAAGAAAAAAAUGACGGUACCAACAGAAGAAGUGACGGCUAAAUACGUG
rnacentral:rRNA from 1 species